AGGGAAUUUUGCGCAAUGGGCGAAAGCCUGACGCAGCGACGCUGCUUGGGCGAUGAAGGCCUUCGGGUUGUAAAGCCCUUUUCUGGGGGAAGAGAGAGGACGGUACCUCAGGAAUAAGCGUCGGCUAACUACGUGCCAGCAGCCGCCUUAAUACGUAGGACCCCAGAGUUAUCCGGAUUCAUUGGGCGUAAAGCGCCUGCAGGCGGUCUCGUAAGUUGGGUGUGAAAGCCCCAGGCUUAACCUGGGGAGGCCGUUCAAUACUGCAGAGCAUGAGGACGGGAGAGGGAAGCGGAAUGCCCGGUGUAGCGGUAAAAUGCGCAGAUAUCGGGAGGAACACCAGUGGCGAAGGCGGCUUCCUGGCCCGUUCCUGACGCUCGGAGGCGAAAGCU
rnacentral:rRNA from 1 species